ACAUUACCAAACAGCCCAUAAGUUUCAGCUGCGCUAAAGGAAAUUCCGAGGCAAGUUUUGGCGAGUUUUGGUGAAUUUCGGGAAAGGUUCAAGAGAAGACGAGGCGAGCAUAGUUAAGAGUAAUCCGUAAGAGGUACAGAUGAUUGGUUUGCUGAUCCGCUCGCUUAGGACAUCCACCAUGUUGGUCGACAGUGCUCCUUUGUUCGGAGUCCUAUUUUGGUACUGACACUUUCUGUUGUAUAUAUAUAUACGUUGUUUAGGGUACGGCGGGGCCCUGUCCCGUCAUAUGACUAGGAUAUCAUUCUGUAGAGGUCUGUAAACAUGAGAUGUGGGUUUUGUAUAUAUGUU